rnacentral:RNase_P_RNA from 1 species
UGAGCAGAUCAGACGGUCGCGGGGAUAAAGGCGAAAGCCUGUCCAUGAGGAAAGUCCGGGCUCCGCAGGGCAAGGAUAACGGGUAACGCCCGCCGAAGGCGACUUCAGGAAAAGUGCAACAGAGAUAUACCGCCGGCUGCGGCGAUUGUGGUGCAGCCGGUAAGGGUGGAAAGGCGAGGUAAGAGCUCACCCGACGGCGUGUGAAAGCGUCCGCCGCUGUAAACUCUAUCCGGAGCAACACCGGUAUGGGAGCAAUAGGCUGGCCCGGCUGCUCCCGAGGUGGCUGGAGCGUGCCGGCAACGGUACGCCUAGAUAGAUGACCGUAUGAUAACAGAACCCGGCUUACAGAUCUGCUCAUAUA